UACGUAGGUGGCAAGCGUUGUCCGGAUUUACUGGGCGUAAAGAGCGCGCAGGCGGUCGGAUCAGUCGAAUGUGAAAGCCCCCGGCUCAACUGGGGAGGGUCAUUCGAUACUGUCCGACUCGAAGGCAGGAGAGGGAAGCGGAAUUCCCGGUGUAGUGGUGAAAUGCGUAGAUAUCGGGAGGAACACCAGUGGCGAAGGCGGGUUGCUGGGCCGACACUGACGCUGAUGCGCGAAAGCCAGGGGAGCGAACGGG
rnacentral:rRNA from 1 species